GGGCCCGCACAAGCAGCGGAGCAUGUGGUUUAAUUCGAAGCAACGCGAAGAACCUUACCAGGUCUUGACAUCGAUGGAACCUGUAGAGAUACGGGGUGCCCUUCGGGGCCCUGAAGACAGGUGGUGCAUGGUUGUCGUCAGCUCGUGUCGUGAGAUGUUGGGUUAAGUCCCGCAACGAGCGCAACCCUUGUUGUCAGUUACUAACGCGUAAAGGCGAGGACUCUGACGAGACUGCCGGGGACAACUCGGAGGAAGGUGGGGACGACGUCAAAUCAUCAUGCCCCUUAUGACCUGGGCUACACACGUGCUACAAUGGCCACUACAAAGAGGAGCGAGGUCGCAAGACGGAGCGGAUCUGAGAAAAGUGGUCUCAGUUCAGAUCGUGGGCUGCAACCCGCCCACGUGAAGUCGGAGUUGCUAGUAAUCGCGAAUCAGCAUGUCGCGGUGAAUACGUUCCCGGGCCUU
rnacentral:rRNA from 1 species